rnacentral:misc_RNA from 1 species
GAUGAAGAACGUAGCGAAAUGCGAUAAGUAAUGUGAAUUGCAGAAUUCAGUGAAUCAUCGAAUCUUUGAACGCACAUUGCGCCCGCCAGUAUUCUGGCGGGCAUGCCUGUCCGAGCGUCAUUUCAACCCUCGAACCCCUCCGGGGGGUCGGCGUUGGGGAUCGGCCCCUCACCGGGCCGCCCCCGAAAUCCAGUGGUGGUCUCGCCGCAGCCUCUCCUGCGCAGUAGUUUGCACACUCGCACCGGGAGCGCGGCGCGGCCACAGCCGUAAAACACCCCAAACUCUGAAAUGUUGACCUCGGAUCAGGUAGGAAUACCCGCUGAACUUAAGCAUAUCAAUAAGCGGAGGA